rnacentral:rRNA from 1 species
CAGUAGCCACGGUAAUACAGAGGGUGCGAGCGUUAAUCGGAUUUACUGGGCGUAAAGCGUGCGUAGGCGGCUUCUUAAGUCGGAUGUGAAAUCCCUGAGCUUAACUUAGGAAUUGCAUUCGAUACUGGGAAGCUAGAGUAUGGGAGAGGAUGGUAGAAUUCCAGGUGUAGCGGUGAAAUGCGUAGAGAUCUGGAGGAAUACCGAUGGCGAAGGCAGCCAUCUGGCCUAAUACUGACGCUGAGGUACGAAAGCAUGGGGAGCAAACAGGAUUAGAUACCCUAGUAGUCCCUGUCUCUUAUAC